rnacentral:rRNA from 1 species
UAUGAACGCUGGCGGCGUGCCUAAUACAUGCAAGUCGAGCGAACAGAUGAGGAGCUUGCUCCUCUGACGUUAGCGGCGGACGGGUGAGUAACACGUGGAUAACCUACCUAUAAGACUGGGAUAACUUCGGGAAACCGGAGCUAAUACCGGAUAAUAUAUUGAACCGCAUGGUUCAAUAGUGAAAGACGGUUUUGCUGUCACUUAUAGAUGGAUCCGCGCCGCAUUAGCUAGUUGGUAAGGUAACGGCUUACCAAGGCAACGAUGCGUAGCCGACCUGAGAGGGUGAUCGGCCACACUGGAACUGAGACACGGUCCAGACUCCUACGGGAGGCAGCAGUAGGGAAUCUUCCGCAAUGGGCGAAAGCCUGACGGAGCAACGCCGCGUGAGUGAUGAAGGUCUUCGGAUCGUAAAACUCUGUUAUUAGGGAAGAACAAAUGUGUAAGUAACUAUGCACGUCUUGACGGUACCUAAUCAGAAAGCCACGGCUAACUACGUG